rnacentral:rRNA from 1 species
GACAGCAGUCGCCGCGGUAAUACGGAGGGAGCUAGCGUUGUUUGGAAUUACUGGGCGUAAAGCGUGCGUAGGCGGUUUGUUAAGUCUGCUGUGAAAUCCCCGGGCUCAACCUGGGAAUGGCAGUGGAUACUGGCAAGCUAGAGUGUGUCAGAGGAUGGUGGAAUUCCCGGUGUAGCGGUGAAAUGCGUAGAGAUCGGGAGGAACAUCAGUGGCGAAGGCGGCCAUCUGGGACAACACUGACGCUGAGGCACGAAAGCGUGGGGAGCAAACAGGAUUAGAUACCCCCGUAGUCCCUGUCUCUUAUAC